GCCAAUGUGGCAUAGUGGUUUGAGCACUGGACUACAACUCUGGAGAUCAGGGUUCAAUUCCAUGCUUGGCC
rnacentral:tRNA from 1 species